ensembl:snRNA U6 U6 spliceosomal RNA
GUGCUCACUUCAGCAGCACAUAUACUAAAAUUGGAACGAUACAGAGGGGAUUAGCAUGACCCCUGCGCAAGGAUGACAUGCAAAUUUGUGAAGUGUUCCGUAUUAAA